rnacentral:rRNA from 1 species
UACGUAGGCGGCCUUUUAAGUCAGGUGUGAAAGCGUGAGGCUUAACCUCAUUAAGCACUUGAAACUGGAAGGCUUGAGUGAAGGAGAGGAAAGUGGAAUUCCUAGUGUAGCGGUGAAAUGCGUAGAUAUUAGGAGGAACACCAGUGGCGAAGGCGACUUACUGGCCAAUAACUGACGCUGAGGCGCGAAAGCGUGGGGAGCAAACAGGA